rnacentral:rRNA from 1 species
UGCGGGGGGAGCAAGCGUUGUUCGGAUUUACUGGGCGUAAAGGGCGCGUAGGCGGCCACCGCAAGUCGACUGUGAAAUCUCCGGGCUUAACCCGGAAAGGUCAGCCGAUACUGCGGGGCUAGAGUGCAGAAGGGGCAACUGGAAUUCUCGGUGUAGUGGUGAAAUGCGUAGAUAUCGAGAGGAACACCUGCGGCAAAGGCGGGUUGCUGGGCUGACACUGACGCUGAGGCGCGAAAGCUAGGGGAGCGAACGGG